rnacentral:lncRNA from 1 species
AAGAAAACACACCUACACUGGCAAUCGAGUGAGACUUCUAUUGAGCUCAGUAACUUACGGAAAAGCAUGGAUAUGUGGCACCAGAACACCGUGAAGGCUUAAAACUGAAGCUGCCUGUUAGCCCAAGGCUGAAGAUUUUUCAAGUUAAUAUUUAAAGGCCCAAGAGUAUUGCAUCCCAAGUGCAUUUUUGAGCUUCUGAUGCCCUGUAUUCCAUUUCAAUCUUGACGGUUAGGAGAGAGAAAUCUGGGGCCUGAGGGCUUUCUGAAACGGAACAAGCUGAGAGUGUGCAGCAUCUCUUCCUCUGGAGUACUGGAUGUGCCAGGAGCAUCAUCCUAUUACUAAUAAGUCGAAAUAGACAGCAGGAAAUGCAGGUCCCUCCCUAGCAGUGCCAGAAUGCAUCUCUGUGUGUAUCCAGCAAUCUGGGUGAUAUGUUGACAGAAUGAGGCCAGCGAUGCAAAUAAAGGAAUUUUUUUCCCUCUCUCCUUGCAGUA